rnacentral:lncRNA from 1 species
UUGGUAUCGUAUUCCUCGCAGAAAAGCCAAAGGAUAAGACUCGGUCAUACGGAAUAAAUUUAGCAUAUAUGUAAUGAGGUCACUGAAUAAAGCAAGUUUACAGUAGGUCUUACAAGACCACAAAACAACAAGUUUCUAGAUGCGAAUUUAAUGGACCCUACUUGUGAAGCAAACAACUUCCUUUUAGAUUUUGGACCAGGGACAAGACAUUACAAAAGUUAAAGAAUGAGAGGGAGAGGGAGAGGGAGAGGGAAUCACAUUGUUGCAAGAUUCUAAAUAACUAAUUUAAAAACAUUUCUUAUACACCCCAAAUCAUAUUAAAAAUCACAAUAAAUU